rnacentral:tRNA from 1 species
UGCGAAAUUGUGUAAUGGUAGCACGACUGACUCUGGAUCAGUUUGUCUGGGUUCGAAUCCUAGUUUCGCAGCCA